GAGAGAAUCCCAUGAGCAUGUAUAUAUAUGCAGACGCAAGGAGGAAACAGAAAAGAAGAAGAAGAAAAAAAGGAAGCCCGUUCCCGUGUGCAGACGGGCGUCUCGCUGGAUUCAAAUAGGCCUCAUCUACUGGGCGCCGAAAACUUCGACGGGAGCACGAAAUGAAACAUGUGUUGGUUGCUGGGAGGAAGCAAUUAUGGGGGAGCAUGUGAAAACGACGUUGGGAUGAAACAUCUUAUCUUAUGGGAGACUGUCGUCGAUCGAUCGGCGGGGUUAAGUAAAUGAGGCUUAUCCCAGUGGAUGAGGAUGGAUAAGAUAGGUUAUGAUGAGAAGGGUGCUUUCGGUUAGGCCGGCGAGAGAUCGGCGCUGCCUACAUAGUUUGAUUAUGCUCAUUGGGUGAGAUUAGCUUGUUUAUUCUGGUCUUCUGGGCUGCUAGUGCUGCAGCAGUCGUCUCGAUCUAAGUCAAGUUUCUGUUCUUUAAGAAAUAAUUUUUUGGGGCUCGUUAGCUUUGUAGGAUUUUUAUAGGAUUUCUGUACUUAGCAUUCGGUUCACCUUAGAGAUGCUAGAUUAGUAAAGAUUAUGUCCAGAUUGAUCUGACCAAAUGGUUCUUAGCAUUAUGUGAGACCUCAUGGAAAUUUCUUAAGACAUUACAAUCCUCUGCCUUAUCUAUUCAUGUGAUUUCAAAAUCUUUUUCUAUUCAAAAUCCUGUAAAACCAAAUAAGUCCUUGUGGCAAUUCUCCAAGGUACAAAGUUGCAGUUGCAUUUA